rnacentral:rRNA from 1 species
UGGCUCAGGACGAACGCUGGCGGCGUGCCUAAUACAUGCAAGUCGAGCGGACGGAUGGGAGCUUGCUCCCUGAAGUCAGCGGCGGACGGGUGAGUAACACGUGGGCAACCUGCCUGUAAGACUGGGAUAACUUCGGGAAACCGGAGCUAAUACCGGAUAAUGCACANCCUCUCAUGAGGUAUGCUGAAAGAUGGUUUCGGCUAUCACUUACAGAUGGGCCCGCGGCGCAUUAGCUAGUUGGUGAGGUAACGGCUCACCAAGGCAACGAUGCGUAGCCGACCUGAGAGGGUGAUCGGCCACACUGGGACUGAGACACGGCCCAGACUCCUACGGGAGGCAGCAGUAGGGAAUCUUCCGCAAUGGACGAAAGUCUGACGGAGCAACGCCGCGUGAGUGAUGAAGGUUUUCGGAUCGUAAAACUCUGUUGUCAGGGAAGAACAAGUGCCGGAGUAACUGCCGGCACCUUGACGGUACCUGACCAGAAAGCCACGGCUAACUACGUGCCAGCCGCG